rnacentral:lncRNA from 1 species
CCGUGUUCCAUGUUUUAUUACGAAUCUGUGUGCUUUCCUCUGCUUUCCUCUGUUUUAUAUUACUUAUGGGUGCCACAUUUAUGUUAUGUAAUCUGCUUCUGUGCUUUACUAUGUGUUUGUGUGGUAUCUCGUGUCUUGAGCUGGGGGUCUAUCGGAAACAGCCUUUCUACUUCAUCCGAGGUAGAGGUAUGGACUGCGUACAUCUUACCCUCCC